rnacentral:rRNA from 1 species
UUCCAGACUCCUACGGGAGGCAGCAGUAGGGAAUAUUGCUCAAUGGGGGAAACCCUGAAGCAGCAACGCCGCGUGAAGGAAGAAGGCUUUCGGGUUGUAAACUUCUUUUAUGGGGGACGAAAGAAAUGACGGUACCUCAUGAAUAAGCCACGGCUAACUACGUGCCAGCAGCCGCGGUAAUACGUAGGUGGCAAGCGUUAUCCGGAUUUACUGGGUGUAAAGGGAGCGUAGACGGACUUGCAAGUCUGAUGUGAAAAUCCGGGGCCCAACCCCGGAACUGCAUUGGAAACUGUAUAUCUAGAGUGUCGGAGAGGCAAGUGGAAUUCCUGGUGUAGCGGUGAAAUGCGUAGAUAUCAGGAGGAACACCAGUGGCGAAGGCGGCUUGCUGGACGAUGACUGACGUUGAGGCGCGAAAGCGUGGGGAGCAAACAGGAUUAGAUACCCGCGUAAA